rnacentral:rRNA from 1 species
AGAGUUUGAUCCUGGCUCAGAUUGAACGCUGGCGGCAUGCCUUACACAUGCAAGUCGAACGCGAGGGGGGGAGCAAUCCCCCCGGUAGAGUGGCGAACGGGUGAGUAAUACAUCGGAACGUACCCAGUAGCGGGGGAUAACCUCUCGAAAGAGAGGCUAAUACCGCAUACGACCUACGGGUGAAAGAGGGGGAUCGCAAGACCUCUCACUAUUGGAGCGGCCGAUGUCGGAUUAGCUAGUUGGCGGGGUAAAAGCCCACCAAGGCGACGAUCCGUAGCUGGUCUGAGAGGACGACCACCCACACUGGAACUGAGACACGGUCCACACUCCUACGGGAGGCAGCAGUGGGGAUUUUUGGACAAUGGGCGCAAGCCUGAUCCAGCCAUGCCGCGUGGGAAAAAGAAGGCCUUCGGGUUGUAAAGCCCUUUCGGCUGGGACAAAAAGGUCCUUGUUAACACCACGGAUCCAUGACGGUACCAAAAAAAAGAAGCACCGGCUAACUACGUGCCAGCAGCCGCGGUAAUA